rnacentral:lncRNA from 1 species
GAAAGAAUAGCUGACAUGCUUAAAGGCCAUGGAGAUAUCUUUGAAAAUAAGAUAGCAGAACACAAAUAUCUUAAUAACAUUAUUUGCUGUCUUAUUUCAUUUUUCUUACAAUAAUCUUAAAAUACAAAAGUAUAACUACAAAGGUUCUUGAAAAUACAAAAAAUAGUUCAAAUAACUAGGGGCCAAUAUAAUAACUAUAUGACAGCUCAUGAAAUAUUUUAGAAUUUCAUUUGUUUAUUCUCUUUGGUAUUGCUCUUAAUACAGAAUGAUCAUGUUGGAACAGAAUCUCUAAGCACGGUCAUUUUAACACAUUUACAAUAUCCACUCUUACACUUAUGUUUCAUUGACAGUGGACACCAAUUUUUUGGACAAUCAUGAUCACCUGAACAUUUAAUAGGUACUGUAAUAAAAAAGAAAAAUAAAGUAAUUUAAAUAUGAGAUAAAAUAUUGUAUACAAAUUACAAAAAUUAUUGAUAAAGGAUAAAAAUAACUUACCACCAAUGUUUGGUGCAACAAAAGAAAUGGAAAUAAAAAGAACUAUUACAUAAACAAACUUGACAGUUAAAGCCAUAUUUCUGGGCAUGCAAUAAUGGUUUUAUCACUUCAUUAUUUAUAAUGGUCUCCUCUCCUUACAUCAAUUACAUAGUUUUUAACGUUUAAGUAAUUGUAAAAAAUCA